rnacentral:rRNA from 1 species
CACGUAGGCACCAAGCGUUGUCCGGAUUUAUUGGGCGUAAAGAGCUCGUAGGCGGUUCAGUAAGUCGGGUGUGAAAACUUUGGGCUUAACCCAAAGCGUGCAUCCGAUACUGCUGUGACUUGAGUUCGGUAGGGGAGUGGGGAAUUCCUAGUGUAGCGGUGAAAUGACGCAGAUAUCAGGAGGAACACCGGUGGCGAAGGCGGCGCCUGGACCAACACUGACACUGAUGAGCGAAAGCCAGGGGAGCAAACGGGGA